AAUCGAAAAACAAAACGCGCGUGUGUGUGCUCACUUUGCCAUGCAGCCUCCUUUCUCUGCCGCGCUCCUUCUCUCAGUUCUUGCCCCUGGCCCUGUCCCUCUUUCUCUCCCCCUCACUUCCCUCCGCCUCUUCUCUGCCUUGCACCGUCGUUGAUUGUGCGCACACGCACUCUUGUCGCCUCCACCCGCUCCCUUUUCAAGUGUGCGUGGGCUCCCGUUGCUCUCUUCUCUGUAUUUUUCUGCGGCCUCGUCGAGAGUGCCACACUCACUUGAAGCAGAGAAGUAGAAAACAAAAACGCGAGGCGGAGAGGUGGUGUGAAGGCAGCCGGAACUCCAAGAGUAGCACGAGGAUCUCUCGAGGCAAAUACAGACAGCACACAACCACACACGCAAGCGCACAACUUUGCGGGCGUGCUAGUAAAAGGUAACGCUCUUUCUGUGUGUUGCUUUUUCUCUGUGCGUGCUUUCCCUUGUGUUUCAAAUUGCUCUCCUCCGUUUUCCUUGCUUAUUUUUGUGUCGUUCAAAACAUUUCACUU
rnacentral:misc_RNA from 1 species